rnacentral:rRNA from 1 species
AUGGAGGCGCAGCAGGCGCACCUGGAGAGGGCGCUGAGCAUCACCACCACCGUGCUCUUCGUCGCCAGCGUCUCCUAUAUCGCCCUCAGCACGCUCUACGCCUGCCUCCGCGCCGCCCGCCACGAAGACCCCGCCGGGGCCGACGCCGACGGCCCGGCGCCGCCGCGGGAGGCGACCAAGCGCGCGCUCGAGGGGAUCCCCGUGCGGGUGGUCGUCCUGCUGGACCAUCCGCGCGACGGCGGUUGCCCCGAGGCGGUCGUGGAGGACGAGGGGGUGGACGCCGACGCCUGCGCGGUGUGCCUGGCGGAGUACGCGGCCGGGGACGAGGUGCGCGUGCUCCCGGCGUGCCGCCACGGCUUCCACCGGGAGUGUGUCGACCGCUGGCUGCUCACGCGCGCGCCCACCUGCCCCGUCUGCCGCGCCCCGGUCGCCGCGCACCUCGACGGCGCCGACGCCAAGGAGGAGCUCUCCCCGCCCACGACCAGGCACGCCGGUCACUUUGGUGAUUUCGCCGACUGGUCCCUUGGGCUCCCGGCGCCGAUAUGA